CCCGAACAAUGGAAGGGAAGAAGGAAAGGAGGGGCUGAGGAAGGAAACAGACACUGACCAAAGCCCAGAGGUUGGAAACCAUGGCCACAUAAGACAUGCUGGCUUCUCCUUCGCUUUCCACCAUGAUUGUAAGUUUCCUGAGACCUCCCCAGCCAUGCUUCCUGUAUAGCCUGCAGAACUCUCUUAAAAGCAGAGAUGAAGAGAAAAGAGUGAGUUCAAAAGACAGAGCAUGAGAAAGACCCCACCCGCUAUUACUGGC